CCUGGUACUAAGGGCUUUCAAAUGUCAUCUUGUAACACUGUGUAGUUUAAAAUCACUUUCAUCUUUUUUUAAAAAAAGAAAAGAUAAAAAGCGGUUCUGCUGUAUCUGAAACUGCCUUUGUUUCCCUAAUCCUCAGAGAAAAACACCUGGUAAAGCUACAUUAGUCCCAAACAGCAUUUAUGUUAAUGAUGAAGCACAGGGCAAACAAAGGUUUAUGGAGUUGUUCCCACAUGGACUCAUCACAGAACUUUUUUUCCCCAGAAAAAUUCAUGCAGAGACAAUCUUGAAUAAUCAAGGAUUAACUAAGUAUAAAAGUUCGCUUUAAUAGAUUAGGAUUUUGUACCAGUUUCAGAACCUGGAGGAGGAAGAACAAAUAAAAAUAAUAAAGAAUUAGGGGCUUGGGGGACGAGAGGGGGAGAAAUGCAAGUUCAUUCCUAAAUAAAAUACUUGAUGAAAGUAUUUGUCAGUGUUUGUACUUCUAGCUCACAACACUGCGGUCCUCCAAUCAGAUUGAGAAAA
rnacentral:lncRNA from 1 species